AUUGAACGCUGGCGGCAGGCCUAACACAUGCAAGUCGAGCGGAUGACGGGAGCUUGCUCCUUGAUUCAGCGGCGGACGGGUGAGUAAUGCCUAGGAAUCUGCCUGGUAGUGGGGGACAACGUUUCGAAAGGAACGCUAAUACCGCAUACGUCCUACGGGAGAAAGCAGGGGACCUGCGGGCCUUGCGCUAUCAGAUGAGCCUAGGUCGGAUUAGCUAGUUGGCGGGGUAAUGGCUCACCAAGGAGACGAUCCGUAACUGGUCUGAGAGGAUGAUCAGUCACACUGGAACUGAGACACGGUCCAGACGCCUACGGGAGGCAGCAGUGGGGAAUAUCGGACAAUGGGCGAAAGCCUGAUCCAGCCAUGCCGCGUGUGUGAAGAAGGUCUUCGGAUUGUAAAACACUUUAAGUUGGGAGGAAGGGCAGUAAGUUAAUACCUUGCUGUUUUGACGUUACCGACAGAAUAAGCACCGGCUAACUCUGUGCCAGCAGCCGCAGUAACAC
rnacentral:rRNA from 1 species